GCCAGUUCUACAUUCCCUUUAAAUGGGAAUUUGGCCUCAGUUCAGUGGGAGUUUUGUAUGAGUUAGGACUUCAGAGAUAGACCUGUUUAUCACGGUUCUGGCAUACGGAGCAGAGCAGGGUGAAAGUUUGGGCAGUGAAGGGGAUUGGCUCACCUUGUGAUUUACUUUGAGUUUGGGGUUUGAAUAAACCAAAAUGCACACUGUGAAAUUGAGUCCAAACCAAGGAGUUUCACCUGAUUUCAUAUAUAAACUGAGUUCUGGAUAGUUUGGACGCAAAACUAUAUGUCUGCCAGGUGCAUCUGAAAGAUUUGUGAACUUUACAGAAUGUUUGAAGAAGCUGGGCUGAAUUUCAAAUCUGCAAUGGAACAUGAAAGCAGGUCACAAUGGUCUGUGAUAUAACCCCUAUGACUGCAAUUUUGCAUCCUGAAGAUGUCUGCACUUCAUCGGGUAUUAAACUCCUCCAGUUCAGACACUCUGGCCUCAAGAGCCCAUAUUGUGUCUCUGAUGGCCAUGAGCUGCUUGCCCGGUGCAGACAUAUACACCAUCUGCUCUCAAGACCAAGAAGAGAAGAGAAUUUCAGAGUCAAGGACCCCUCAAAGAGAACAGGCUCUUUCUCUUCUACGGUGAAGGAGAUCCAUCUUCAAUUGUGCAUUAUGGAAAAAAGAAUGGGGCAGUCCUGCAGGGACAUGGGUCCCAAACUAUUUAAGACAUCCAACAUAAAAACUAUGAAGUGUUGUUGUAGCCAUGCUGAUCCUAGGAUAUUAGCAAGACAAGGCGGGUGAUGUAAUAACUUUUAUUGGACCAAGAGAUACAAGAGAUUUUUUCAGCUGCUCUAUUCUAUAUCAGGAAUACAGCAUUAAGAACAUUGCCUCUCCACCACUAGCUGACACAAGGAAAAAUCGAAAUUAAACUUAUUUAAAUUAGUAAAAAUGGAUUGGUGAUAGUGAAUCCUAAUAUUAAGAUGCAUAUAAAUGUGUAAUUGUUUAUAGUUAUAAUGAUUUAAUAAUUAAUAAAUACAUUUUUAAGUGGUUACAGCUAGGGAUAACAAGAUGGUGAUUUUGGAAUAAUUCAGCCUAUAGGAAACAGACAGGUUAAGGUGAGAUAAAGGUCACUCCAAAACCUGAAAGGAGGGGCUAGUCAAGCAUGGCACAGGUUUUCAAUCGGGUCUGGGUUUGAUUGACAGAUGAAUUCACCAGCUGUGAUUGGUUCAUAAGAACAGAUCAAUCAGGGAAGCCUUUAAGAUGAUUGGUGGAUGGGUAUGCUAAUGAUAAGGAUCGAGGAAAUAACCAAUCAGAAUAGGCCAAAACCUGUAUAUAAGGUAGAGAGCUGACAGGCUUGAGUCAGUCAAGAUGAGACCAGGUGGAGAAAUAGGAGAAGAAGUUGGAAGAUCAGAAAAGAGUUGAAAUCGCUGAAGAAGGAAAGAGCUGCAGCAGCAACAGCUAAGAAGUAUCUGUGACAGAGCAAAAGGACUGCAGACAGAUCAGAGGGGAAAAAAGACUGUAAAAAAGUAACAUGACAACCAUAGUACAGAGAACCAAUAGGAUUUAUGAGUGUAUCUGUCUGAGAUAAUAAAGUUGGAUGUUUGUGUAUAUAUGUUUGUUACUAUGUAUACAAUUUAAAUGUUUAAGUAAGAACUCGCAGACAGCAUUCUCCAUGUGACUGAUCACUGCAUGUAGAAUGUAACCACUUAAAAGCUAUUCCCAACUGUAUGGUAUUACAGUACUGGGUACUUUGAUAUGCAUACCUGUGCUAAUGGGAUUUGUAUUUUGUUUCUUGAUAAUAUGCUUUUAAGGUUUAUUGUAUCAAGGAAUAUUGGUAUAUUGAACAAAGAUUAUUUUGAUUUUGAAGAAUUACUGCCUGAUUGUUAAUUUUUCAAUCAGAAAGCUGUAUCCAGAUCUUCCCCAAGGGUCAACAGAAUUAGUCUAUCCUGGGGAAGUUUUCCAAAAGUCAGAGGGAAGAAAACCUUAGUAAAACUUCAAGGGCGGUCCACCCCCUUUCACCUAUCGAAACAGACAGAAAGGGGGAUAGUUAUUCAGGGGGACCAGAGUGAGCUACAGAUAAUCACUGGUGGUGUCUGAAUAAAUUAGGUCUGCCAAGGUUACCAUCAAGGGAGGGUAAGAUUUUAGGAAAGACAGACAUAGGUGUAUACUGUUCCUGUUAAAUGCUUUGU